AAGGCGAAACUAUCUGGAGAGCAGAGAUGCUAAGAGAAGGAUAUGAGAAGCCAAGCGAAAGCACACAAAGAAACUUUGUUUAGUUUUGAGGGCAAUAAGCACUCAAGAGUUAGGACAUUGAAACUGAGUAUAACAAGCAAACCGAGACAUCAAGACGAUGAAAGAGAGAAGCUCAACUUGAAUAGGUCAAGUAGAGAA
rnacentral:misc_RNA from 1 species